GACGAACGCUGGCGGCGUGCUUAACACAUGCGAGUCGUACGGUAAGGCCCUUUCGGGGGUACACGAGUGGCGAACGGGUGAGUAACACGUGAGUAACCUGCCCACAACUUUGGGAUAACGCUAGGAAACUGGUGCUAAUACUGGAUAUGUGCCCCUGCUGCAUGGUGGGGGUUGGAAAGCUCCGGCGGUUGUGGAUGGACUCGCGGCCUAUCAGCUUGUUGGUGGGGUAGUGGCCUACCAAGGCGGCGACGGGUAGCCGGCCUGAGAGGGUGACCGGCCACAUUGGGACUGAGAUACGGCCCAGACUCCUACGGGAGGCAGCAGUGGGGAAUAUUGCACAAUGGGCGCAAGCCUGAUGCAGCAACGCCGCGUGCGGGAUGACGGCCUUCGGGUUGUAAACCGCUUUCAGCAGGGACGAAGCUUUUUGUGACGGUACCUGCAGAAGAAGCACCGGCUAACUACGUG
rnacentral:rRNA from 1 species